rnacentral:rRNA from 1 species
CCUACGGGAGGCAGCAGUGAGGAAUAUUGGUCAAUGGACGAGAGUCUGAACCAGCCAAGUAGCGUGAAGGAUGACUGUCCUAUGGGUGGUAAACUUCUUUUAUAAAGGAAUAAAACGAGGCACGUGUGCCUUUGUGCAUUUACUUUAUGAAUAAGGAUCGGCUAACUCCGUGCCAGCAGCCGCGGUAAUACGGAGGAUCCGAGCGUUAAUCGGAUUGAUUGGGUUUAAAGGGAGCGUAGAUGGGUUGUUAAGUCAGGUGUGAAAGUUUGCGGCUCAACCUGAAAACUGCAAUUGAUACUGGCAGUCUUGAGUACAGUUGAGGUAGGCGGAAUUCGUGGUGUAGCGGUGAAAUGCUUAGAUAUCACGAAGAACCCCGAUUGCGAAGGCAGCUUACUAAACUGUGACUGACAUUGAUGCUCGAAAGUGUGGGUAUCAAACAGGAUUAGAUACCCCUGUAGUC